UUAGACACCUUAUUUAUAUAGGUUAGUUAUUUAGCGACGCACCAUAGAAGACGCAUAUUGAACGGGACUAGUGACGUUUGGGAUAUGUUGGGCUAGAGACCGGAAAAUCAGUUAGCGAUAGAACACUCCAGGGUAACGACGUGUUUAGUGACAGAGACUUCUACUGUGGCCUUUUUAUCAGAAUAAAUACAUGUUGAAUAGUUCAUCAGAGUUGACUACAUCUCUUCACUUGUUAAAAAACAGGUGUUGUUUUAUUCUUGUUUGUAUUGCUGCUCAACUACACGUAAUACACCCGAACAAUUACACCCAAACGAUUGCAGAGUAAUUGGUUGACUUCAAGACAGCCUGAAUAAGCAACAUCACAGUGGCGACCCCGAACCUCGAAGCCGGACCCCUGAUGAAGCCGAACAUCGAACCGGACCUCGAAGCAGAACGUUUACUCAGGUGAGGGUCGUGCACUCGAAGAUAUAAGAUUUCAUCGGAGUACGGCUGAACACAGCAUCAUCGCAGAGUGACUUUGUUCUGGAUCUACAAGCAGUCGUCGCCUGUUUGAUCGCACGUUCAACGAGCCGUUAACUCAGGGUGACCUUCGUCAGGACAGUAAUCAUCGCAACGUCUGGUCUACUUAACCAGUAUAUUAUCAAAGCCUGAUCUUCAUAUGCUGAAUCGACCUACAACCAGAGAAACCGUUCAUUCAUAACGGGUGAGAGAUCGUUAGUGAACCUGUUGGACAUAUUUUUUCUUCGUCGUAGGAGCCACAUCGAGUAUCAAGUUUUACCUCGCCAGUUCGAGAAGGACAGUUUGCCCGCUGUCAGAAGUAUUGUGAGUACUACAAGUUUGGUAGCUAACUAAAUCGAAAUCGCUCUGUCGUCUUACCCUUGGAGAGAUUCUUGUGGAGCAGUUUGCUCAUUGAACCGGUUGCUUGCCACUUUUAUAACGGUCACUGUGUUUAACCUUUGGAAGGUUAGUGAAGUAAUCUUUAUCAGUACUGAACAUUGAUAUAUCUAGUAUUCGUUGGUCUAGACCAUACCUAGACUUGUUAGCAGUGAAGUUGUGGAAACAGCUACAUCCACUUAAUUUCGUUGAAAACCGUUAGUCGUAUAACGGAACGUCGUCGGAGGUGACCUUGGUCUCACCUAGUCUACAUUGGACAGUUUGGUCUAGUGAAGCAGAGUACAACAGCAAACUUCGUCGUACUACCAGAGUAGCAGCAGAAGCAGUGAACUAUUUUAGAGAACCGUUAUUCGUCAGCCCAGAUCAAGUCAUCGUCAAGAAAGUCGUUAUUCGUCAGCCCAGAUCAAGUCAUCGUCAAGAAAGACGUUAUUCGUCAGCCCAGAUCAAGUCAUCGUCAAGAAAUUCGUUAUUCGUCAGUCGUCCAGAUCAAGUUGCCGUCAAGAGACUGUUAUUUGUCAGUAGUCGUCUACACAAGUCAAGUCAUCGCCAGAAGAACCGUUAACCUAUUCGUCAGUAACUGUGUACACAAAGUCGUCGGAACUACACAUACGGUCAUCAACAGUCGCCGAAGGAACUGAAACAUUUUGCUGUGGCAUAUCAAGACAUCUGGAGCAUUACGUGGGAUACUGGUAGCACCGGAGAACAGAGUCAGAACUGGAAGAGAGGCAGUGGAAUUUGUUGUGAUCUAGCAUAUUCGGGAGUCCGAACAAAGGGAUCUUUCUUAUCAAAAGCUAAGUGCCAUUUUUCUUAUUAGUGUAUGUUUAGAUUGCCCUUAGAAAUAGAUUUUGUCUAAAUUUGGUAUGUUAGCCUGAGUAAAAUCAGGUGGUGCUGAAGCCUUAAACCCGUUCGGGGUAAAGACAUAAUUUAGAUGAAAAGCUAUAUUAUACGUUUAGGGUUGUAAAUAUCAGGUGACCGAGCCUCGCUCGGAUGAAUAAUUUGUUAAGGAAGGAUAUAAUACCCGAAGUCAUUUUGAGAAUAUUUUUGUACCAGGUGGCCGAACCUCGCUCGGUUAAAUAAUUUCGGAAGGUUAUAUACCCGAAGUCAUUUUGGGAAUAUUCUUGUAAUUACGAAAAUAAACGAUCGGAUAAAGACUACUAAUCUGAAGAGUUGUUUUAGUGUUCUGUUAGUUCUAAUUGUAGGCCUAAUUGAACAUGUCGAUUAAAUUUAGUAUUUUAAGUCCUCCUACAGUCUAGACAAACUACAGCUCAAGUCCGUCUUAAAGUUUUGCAAUCCAUCUUUUGCGUAAAACUAUUGUAGGCUUACUAUUAUUGGCUUGGAAGAAAGUCAUUGCAGUGUAACUUCUCUACGUUAUAGGGUAAAACAUGCACUUAGUGACAAAGUAAAAUGGCGCAUUUUUCUCAUUAGACUUAAAUCAUUGCAUUAGUUUUUUAAAGAAACGUUUCCGUAGGGCACCUCUGUUACGCCGAAUAAUAUGCUCGUUACCCAUACGGGAUACGUGCCAUGCACAGCCUGACUGUCGGACUAUAAGAAGUUCAUACCGGCUUUUGCCAUCCAUCCAUCCUAGUGGUGCUAUGACCUGCUUUUACACAUCCCUCCAUUCAGAUCUCUCCUGGGCUUUCCGUCAACACGGCCUAACUCCAAGCUUUUUACCGAGGUUUAUAGUUAAAUCAAAAGAGGCUGCAGCGUACGCAAACUCGUUGACCGCUAGAUAGAUAUCACGUUUAGUGUGAGCUAGUAAGGCGUAGAGAAGCUGUGUUAUGACCAUUUCCUUUGUUUUGGUACAGGACAGUAGACACCGAAGCAUGAACACAUGGUAAUAAUUCACCAGCAAAAUAAUAAUAAUAAUAAGGCUUGUCUUCGAGUCCGAAUAUUAAUGAGGAUUGCAGCUGUGACCUACAUAUCUUGCCACAUCCAAGGCAAGCAUAACCAUUGUCCGCGGUGCUCGAUUAAGAUUUUCUUUUAGCGUCUGCGUCUGUCCACGGCAGCAAAUUUUCUUUUGGUCUCAAAUGUGUAUCCGCGGCCUUUGUAUAGAGGGAAAUCUUUAAGUCCGAAAGUUACGCUGGACAGAGCAGUAUCCUGUAUGGGAGACGAAUCUCAGACGAACGCAUGCCAAAGGCAGUCUUUUUUGGUGAGCUAAAAAGGGGGCGACGUAACACCGAAACGCUUAAAACACCAGCUUAUGGCGCAAACUUGACUUAGCUGACAUAGAAGAGAGCACCUGGUUGCAUGCAACCUCAGAACGAGACAGCUGGAGGUCAGCAGCAAAAUAAACAACAAAGUAAAAGGUAUCUACACCGCUCUACACAAUUAAAGUGUAAACAACUUAUUAAGCACUCGUUAUUGUUUGCAAAGAAAUAUUUUAGUGUACUGCGGUAAGCCUAGUGACGUAAGCAGCGUUUUUCCCGUUUACGUCAUGGAAAAUUUUCAUUCAUAAAACAUUCUAGCCAAAACUAAUUUUUCGAUAAUGAGGCAUUUUCAAACCGAUAUAACGGUCGACCUCGAGUUUUCCCGAUGUGGCCAAUGAGUUGAGAAUUUUUUUCUCACUAUUAUGCACAUACCAUGAACUUUUAAAGAAAAUCGUUAGAGCCGUUUUCGAAAUAAAAUUUAUAUAUAUAUAUAAAUAUAAAUAUAUAUACAUACAUACAUACAUACAUACAAGAAUUGCUCGCUUAAGAGUAUAGGAUAUAUAUAUAUAAAUAUAAAUAUAUAUACAUACAUACAUACAUACAUACAAGAAUUGCUCGCUUAAGAGUAUAGGAUUUGUUUUGUUUGUGUAAACGUCAUAUCCGUUGUUGCCUAGUUACUUCGUGACGUUAUCAUUGUGUGCCAUAUUGUCAUAUCCCAACCCAUAGCGAUAGUCUCAUUUAAUUAUUUCAUUUGUUUAUAUUAUUUUAAAUUAUUUAUUUUUAUUAAUUUAAUUAGAUCUGUAUUUUUUUUUCACUUAAUGAUAGAAAGUGCGGGUAGGAUUCUUUUACUGUGAAUCAGACUAAAAUAAUUUUAGUUUGAGCGGUUAAAAUCAAAUAUGAUUUUGCCAUGAGAAUAAUGCCGAAACUGGCUAUGUAGUCAAACACUAUCGUCUGGCUAAAUUUAGAUCUGCAAAUUGUUGUACAUCUCUUUGGUACAAUUUGAUUAUCUAGACUCUAAUUUGAGAAUAUUAUUAAUUGAAAAAUGAAUGAAGGUUAGUGCCAGUGAAGAACAUUAGUGAUGUGUGACGUGCCCAUAAGAUGCCACAUUUUCUUUUAUGAUGAACUGUGUACUAAUGAAGAUGAUUUUGGAAUGUUAUGAACUGUUAUUAACAUUGACAUGAAUAUGAGGAACUGUCAAGAUGAAGAUGUCAAGAUGAAGAUGUCAAGAUUUUAUGUUUGUGGUCUUCCCCUUAAAUUGAAAAUGCCCUUGUAAGACUUGACAGUAGUGGAAAAAUAUUGACAUAUUUUUUUUUCAAGGGGGGGAGGAAUCUGUUAGACACCUUAUUUAUAUAGGUUAGUUAUUUAGCGACGCACCAUAGAAGACGCAUAUUGAACGGGACUAGUGACGUUUGGGAUAUGUUGGGCUAGAGACCGGAAAAUCAGUUAGCGAUAGAACACUCCAGGGUAACGACGUGUUUAGUGACAGAGACUUCUACUGUGGCCUUUUUAUCAGAAUAAAUACAUGUUGAAUAGUU